rnacentral:lncRNA from 1 species
CAAAAUAACGUCAGCCAAUCAGAAAACGCAUUACAUCCAAAAUUAAAUUAUUAGGUUAUGUUGGUUUCAAUAUAGAAUUAUGCACUGUAUAUUGGAGACAAAUGUUGUAUUUUUUAAAAUGAACCUUGUUAAUUGUAAUGUGUGUACACUUUCAAAGAAAAGGCAGAAACUAUAGAAAACUUACUUUAGGGUUUUCAUAUUGUGGCGC